UACGUAGGUGGCAAGCGUUGUCCGGAUUUACUGGGCGUAAAGAGCGCGCAGGCGGUCGUUCAAGUCGCGUGUGAAAGCCCCCGGCUCAACUGGGGAGGGUCACGCGAUACUGAUCGACUGGAAGGCAGGAGAGGGUAGUGGAAUUCCCGGUGUAGUGGUGAAAUGCGUAGAUAUCGGGAGGAACACCAGUGGCGAAGGCGACUUCCUGGACCAAUACUGACGCUCAUGUGCGAAAGCGUGGGGAGCAAACAGG
rnacentral:rRNA from 1 species